GAUUGGAGUGUGGAAGACAGGUGGUAAAGUGAGAGGACGUUGGUGGCUACCAUGACUAUACAGUGGUGAAGGUGAAAUCCAGUUGGUAAUAUUAAGGUCCCAAUUCCUCCACGAUGCUGACAUCCUCCACGAUCCCUGGUUCAACAAGGUGCCGGGUGAGCCCAACAUAUCAUAUAUCUGCUCUCGAUAGAACUUAUAUUUGGGGCAACUGAAUAUACAACUGCUAUUUAUAUGUGGUCUGCUGGUUGUGUUUUGGCUGAGCUCUUUCUAGGACAGAUGAACCCCUAUAUGACUCCACUGCAUACACUGAGGCCGAUCUGCACAGUAAUUUGGAUUCUUCACCAUCAACCUCAACCCCUUCAUCACGCAAGUCCUUGCAUGAAUUUAUUCUGGAAUCAGUUGCUGAAACAACAGCAGUUGUUUGGGAAGUAGUUGCCAUUAGGGGUUUUGGGCAGGCUGAACUUAUCAGUUGCCAAGUCAUAGAUAUCUAGAUUGAUACUAAGCUACAAAUCUGACAACCAAUAUGUCAUGUUACUGGAAGUCACGUGAGUUAGCAUCAUGGCCGUGAAUCUGUAAUCUGACCUCGAUGCAAAAAAUGACGAGUGCAUAAUAGCUUGUAUUUACUUAAUUGAAUUUUUUUUAUCUCAGGUAAUUAUACAUGUAAUUAACCAACUGAAGACAGAAUAAAAAAUAAGUCAUCUCUAAUCAGUUACUUAAAAAUCUAUUGAACCCUAAAACUUCAACUUAAGCAUUUGGAAUAAAUUGGUUGUUGUCAAAUGGCUACUUCCAGAAAUCCUUGUGCUAAACUGAAGGAACAUUCA